UUUAUACAUGAAAAUGUGUAUUCACUACAAAGGUAUCAUUGACGAUGGGCAUCUCAAAGAUAUCCUUUAUUCUACUGUUAGUAGCAUGGAGCGUUCAGGGCGAUGCUGAAAAAUUCGCCUCUAAGACUGGAGAGCAUGAGCCCGAUACCCGAGUUGUGGGAGGCAAAGACGCACCCGAAAAGACUCUGCCAUACCAAACCGCUCUAAAAUUUAAAGACGGCUGGACUUUCUGCGGUGCUGCAAUCAUCUCGGACAGCUGCCCAUUGCGUCAAAAGUCUUAAACCAUCAGAAUUUACCGCUGUAGUUGGUACAUUAUCGAGAACGAAAGGUGGUACAACGUACGAAAUAAGCAAAGUCAUUCCUCACAAAGAACACAACAAGCCAAAUAAAUUCAACAACGAUAUUGCUGUUAUAAGUACAAAAAAGACCAUCGAAUUCAAUGAAAAGGUUCAGCCCCUGCCCUUACCCACAAAGGAUAUCACGGGUGGAUUGUCGUGUAUACUGAGCGGCUGGGGUAAACUUAGUCAUAGGCGGCCACAGCCUGACAAAUUGCAGUAUCUGUACGUAAACACUUUAACCGGCGAAGAGUGUAAUAAAUACUUUAAAGGACGCUCCUCAGUCACUAUAAAUUCCAGCCAGAUGUGUACCCUUAACAAAAAAGGAGAAGGAACAUGCCAAGGUGAUUCAGGCGGCAGCUUAGUGUGCAACGGCACCUCAGCCGGUAUCGUGUCCUUCAACUGGCCCUGCGCUAAUAAUUUCCCUGACACGUACGCCAACACGUACAAGUACAACUCCUGGAUAGAAGAAAAUACAAAAUCACCCUGAGUAUAGUCCUUUAUAAAUUGUAAUAAAUU